rnacentral:lncRNA from 1 species
GGAGAACUCAGGGCGGAUGUCUGCCGGGUUUAGAAUAGUUCACCAGUGAAGUCAUCUCAACCAGCACAGGGCCUUGACUCCUAACAACAAUCACACGAACUUGGAAGAGGAGCCUUCCCCAACUGAACCUUCGCUUGAGACCUCGUCCUUGGCCAUCCUCUACAUCUGGAUUCAUGAUACAGAGAAACUUGAGUAAUGAUGACACUAGCAGUCCAGCCUGCAUGGAUGCUGACAUGGAUGCUGUCUCCCAUUCUUACCACUGGAUGGGAAGAAAUGCUAGAUGCAAU